rnacentral:rRNA from 1 species
AAUUUUGGACAAAGGGGGAAACCCUGAUCCAGCCAUCACGCGUGUAGGAUGAAGGCCUUCGGGUUGUAAAGUACUUUUGGCAGAGAAGAAAAGGUACCUCCUAAUACGAGGUACUGCUGACGGUAUCUGCAGAAUAAGCACCGGCUAACUACGUGUCAGCCGCCGCGGUAAUACGUAGGGUGCAAGCGUUAAUCGGAAUUACUGGGCGUAAAGCGUGUGUGGGCGGUUCGGAAAGAAAGAUGUGAAAUCCCAGGGCUCAACAUUGGAACUGCAUUUUUAACUUCCGAGCUAGAGUAUGUCAGAGGGGGGUAGAAUUCCACGUGUAGCAGUGAAAUGCGUAAAUAUGUGGAGGAAUACCGAUGGCGAAGGCAGCCCCCUGGGAUAAUACUGACGCUCAGACACGAAAGCGUGGGGAGCAAACAG